rnacentral:rRNA from 1 species
AUUGAACGCUGGCGGCAGGCCUAACACAUGCAAGUCGAACGGUAACAGGGAACAGCUUGCUGAUUCGCUGACGAGUGGCGGACGGGUGAGUAAUGUCUGGGAAACUGCCUGAUGGAGGGGGAUAACUACUGGAAACGGUAGCUAAUACCGCAUAACGUCGCAAGACCAAAGAGGGGGACCUUCGGGCCUCUUGCCAUCGGAUGUGCCCAGAUGGGAUUAGCUAGUAGGUGGGGUAACGGCUCACCUAGGCGACGAUCCCUAGCUGGUCUGAGAGGAUGACCAGCCACACUGGAACUGAGACACGGUCCAGACUCCUACGGGAGGCAGCAGUGGGGAAUAUUGCACAAUGGGCGCAAGCCUGAUGCAGCCAUGCCGCGUGUAUGAAGAAGGCCUUCGGGUUGUAAAGUACUUUCAGCGGGGAGGAAGGGAGUAAAGUUAAUACCUUUGCUCAUUGACGUUACCCGCAGAAGAAGCACCGGCUAACUCCGUG